CCUACGGUGGCAGCAGUGGGGAAUAUUGGACAAUGGGCGAAAGCCUGAUCCAGCCAUGCCGCGUGUGUGAAGAAGGCCUUCGGGUUGUAAAGCACUUUCAGUGGGGAAGAAAGCCUUGGGGCUAAUACCCUCGAGGAAGGACAUCACCCACAGAAGAAGCACCGGCUAACUCCGUGCCAGCAGCCGCGGUAAUACGGAGGGUGCGAGCGUUAAUCGGAAUUACUGGGCGUAAAGCGCGCGUAGGCGGUCUGAUAAGCCGGUUGUGAAAGCCCCGGGCUCAACCUGGGAACGGCAUCCGGAACUGUCAGGCUAGAGUGCAGGAGAGGAAGGUAGAAUUCCCGGUGUAGCGGUGAAAUGCGUAGAGAUCGGGAGGAAUACCAGUGGCGAAGGCGGCCUUCUGGACUGACACUGACGCUGAGGUGCGAAAGCGUGGGUAGCAAACAGGAUAAGAUACCCCGGUAGUC
rnacentral:rRNA from 1 species